rnacentral:rRNA from 1 species
AGUGAACGCUGGCGGUAGGCCUAACACAUGCAAGUCGAACGGCAGCACAGUAAGAGCUUGCUCUUACGGGUGGCGAGUGGCGGACGGGUGAGGAAUACAUCGGAAUCUACUUUUUCGUGGGGGAUAACGUAGGGAAACUUACGCUAAUACCGCAUACGACCUACGGGUGAAAGCAGGGGAUCUUCGGACCUUGCGCGAUUGAAUGAGCCGAUGUCGGAUUAGCUAGUUGGCGGGGUGAAGGCCCACCAAGGCGACGAUCCGUAGCUGGUCUGAGAGGAUGAUCAGCCACACUGGAACUGAGACACGGUCCAGACUCCUACGGGAGGCAGCAGUGGGGAAUAUUGGACAAUGGGGGCAAGCCUGAUCCAGCCAUACCGCGUGGGUGAAGAAGGCCUUCGGGUUGUAAAGCCCUUUUGUUGGGAAAGAAAAGCAGCAGGUUAAUACCCCGCUGUUCUGACGGUACCCAAAGAAUAAGCACCGGCUAACUUCGUG